GGCCUUCCGAAUUCGUCCUGAGAUUUCUCCAUACGCCAGAACAUCAGGACUGGUGGGACUCGCAAGAUAAAUGAAGCC
rnacentral:pre_miRNA from 1 species